GCCCACAGGGAGGACUGGGGUAAUUAGCAGAAGACUGUGCCUCCACCCUGUGGCAGUUCAUGAAGCCUUUUAGCCCGACAGGAACAUCUUCCCGAAAUAACAUAAAGGAAAUGGAAAACAAAACUUUGACCCGGAGCCCAGCCAGCCACAGUCUUAAAUGGUACAAGGAUACGACCUUCCCAAAAGAACUUAAACAGGGAAACAAAGACCAAACCCUGACCAAGAACCAGCUCAAUUAUGCCUAUAAAAGUAAUACUCCAAUAAAGACAGGUAGGACACUGCAGUGCAGACUGAUUCAGGACUCAGACAACAAUGCUUACACAUCUGUGCCACAGUACUGGACCUGGGGAAGAAGACCAGCUUCAUACAUAGGUUCCUUGUGAUUUAUCUGAAUUGUUUAUCCAAUCAUUUUUCUUUGUCAUCUAAAACAGACUAUAGGACCUCAUCUAAGGGUGGAGGUUUUCCAAAUCGCUCAUGGACACGUUACAAUCAACAGGAUUCAGUUCAACCCUCACCAGACUAUCAACAACUAUCAAUCAAGAUGACUCAGUAAUAACCAAUGAUUUUUUCAAAUGUUUUUUCCAGUUAUAUUUUUUAUCUGCAUAUUACUUCCUGCAUAUAUGUUGUGUAUAUUUUAGUUGUAUUAUAUGUACUAUAUGAUUUGGCAACAACAGGACUUAAAAGUACUCUGAUAAUUAUUAUUUAUUUAUUUUUAUUUUAUUUUUUUUUUUUGCUUUUUUUCAGUUAAUUGCAGUAUUUCUGAAAGCAAUGCUUUAAUUGUAAUUAUCCAUAUUGAUGAGAAUAUAUGUUAUAUUUUCCUAUUUUGUAUUCCUCUCAUUACCAAAAUGUAUAGAAUUAAUAUAACUCUUUGGUCUUUCUUCUUGUUAAAAUAAUAAAUAAAUAAAUAAAUAAAUAAAACUGUUUCCA
ensembl:lncRNA